AUUGAACGCUGGCGGCAGGCCUAACACAUGCAAGUCGAGCGGAGGAAGGGAGCUUGCUCCUGGAAUCAGCGGCGGACGGGUGAGUAAUGCCUGGGAAUCUGCCUGGUAGUGGGGGAUAACGUCUCGAAAGGGACGCUAAUACCGCGUACGUCCUACGGGAGAAAGCAGGGGAUCUUCGGACCUUGCGCUAUCAGAUGAGCCCAGGCCGGAUUAGCUUGUUGGUGAGGUAAUGGCUCACCAAGGCGACGAUCCGUGGCUGGUCUGAGAGGAUGAUCAGCCACACUGGGACUGAGACACGGCCCAGACUCCUACGGGAGGCAGCAGUGGGGAAUAUUGGACAAUGGGCGAAAGCCUGAUCCAGCCAUGCCGCGUGUGUGAAGAAGGUCUUCGGAUUGUAAAGCACUUUAAGUUGGGAGGAAGGGGUUGAAGCUAAUACCUUCAAUCUUUGACGUUACCAACAGAAUAAGCACCGGCUAACUCUGUGCCAGCCGCCGCCGUAAGAC
rnacentral:rRNA from 1 species